CCCCCCCCCCCCCCGACCCCCCAUAUAAAACAAGCUAAAGAACACUAAAACAUACAUUUAACACAUACUAUUAAACAACAAAGGAGGAAGGGACAGACAGACUGUUGGCGAGACAGCCAUUGCUGGCUCCACCCAGUUUCCUUCUUUACAAUAUGAGGCAGCUUAGUCUACUUCCUCAACGUGCUUCCCAUUGAAUGCAUAUGCUAAAGAAGUUACUUCUUUACUAAAACACAGAACAUGGAAUUUUACUUCGAAGUCACGUGAGUGACUACAUGAAGACCCCAUCCAGGCGCACACGCAUCAUAUCGUCAGACACAUAGCGGCUGUAACCGUGUAAGCGGUGAGUGAAAGAAAAAACCUGAAGGUAUGUACUUUUACUUUCACUUUCAGGCCACUUUCUUCCGUGGAGACUAUGUGCUGAGUACAGGCAAGUCUUAAACUAUGGAGAAAGGGGGAAAAAGUAAAGGCGCAAAUUGGGGGAAGGUUACAAUUCUUCCUAAAAGAAUGGCAAAAAAUAACAUCUGAUGCAUUUAUACUGUGCAGUAUUAUGGGGUUUAGAGUUGAAUUCUACCCACAUUUAUAUCCUCCUACUUAACAUGUUCCUAAGCGAACGCAUGUUUUCUCUAAAGAAGAGAAUAGAAACAUUCAAGCAGGGCUUGAAAUAUUAAGUAGGGAAGGGAUUAUUGAAAAGACAGUUUACCAAAACCACCAAUUUAUAUCUAGCAUAUUUCCUAGAGCAAAAAAGGAUGGUGGUUGUAUAAUCAUUCUUGAUUUAACAAGUCUUAACCCUUUUGUACAGUAUAAACAUUUCAAAAUGGAGACUUUUGCCAAUGCUAUGCAGCUAAUUUCAAGAGGAUGCUAUAUGGCCAGCAUAGAUCUGCAAGAUGCAUAUUACUCUGUGGCUGUGCAUGGCAAUGAUCGCUAAAUUGGGGUGGAAUGUUUUUAUAUGCAUUUCCUCCCUUUUGUCUCAUUAGUAGGUGUCUACAAAAGAUCAAGCAAAAUUCUGCUUCAGGAUUGUUGGUGGUCUCAGAUUGGCCUACACAACCAUGGUACCCAUUAGUGCUAAAAAUGGUCACAGAUCCUCUUAUGGAUUCUAAAAAGGCCAUAUCUCGUAAGAGGACUAUCAGAUCGCACUAUGCAGCAGCCUGGAGGGAUAGUACCCAGAAGCAGUACAUUUCUUACAUAAAGAAAUGGGAGGUGUUUUGCUCAAGGCAGAAUAUUUCAUACCACACUGCAGACAUCUCAGUGACUGUCAACUGACGUGCUUAGCCUGCAGAGAAUCCUUGGCAUGGUAAACUUGGAAAUAUUUAUUCCUAACUUCAGUGAAAUAUCGGCCCCACUGCGCCAGCUAACCCAUAAAGACACUAUUUGGGCCUGGUAUGAGCAACUUGCCUCUCUACACAGCAAGUAUUUUGACGCUGUCCAUUCGGGACACCCAGGCGCAGAAGCAACUGUCCUACGAGCAAAAAAACAUGUUUUACUGGCCUGGCAUGACUGAUUACAUUCAUGAGAAAGUGGAAUCCUGUGCAGUGUGCAACAGUUUGGUACCUCAUCAACAAAAGCAACCAUUUCUCUCACACCCGGUUCCUGCCCUCCCGUGGUCUACAGUGGCAACUGACAUAUUUGAGUGGCUUGGCAAGCAGUACCUGGUUCUUUUUUACUCCUAUUCCAGUUAUUUUGACAUCGAUCUUCUUAGUGGUCCCACUUCUCACAGGGUAGUUCUAAAGCUGGCUCACCAAUUCUCAGACCAUGGAGCUCCUUGUCAACUGCCAUCUGAUAAUGGCAGUCAAUUUACCAGCCAGCACUUCAAAGACUUCAGAUUCAGAUUCAGAUUCAAUUUAAUUGUCAUUGUCAGUGUACAGUACAGAGACAACGAAAUGCAUUAAAAACAGUCAAUUCCCAUACCGAGAGUCGAACCCGGGCCGCCUGGGUGAAAACCAGGAAUCCUAACCUAACUUUGCUGCACGCUGGGGUUUUCGUCACAUCAUCAGCAGCCCUGAAUAUCCUCAGUCGAAUGGGCUGGCUGAACGUGCCGUGAGGUGUGCCAAACAAUUAAUGGAACGAUCCCAUAGAGCAAAAUCAGAUGUGUACAUGGACCUGCGCAACAUCUCUCUCAACCCUAUCUUGGGUUCACCUGCUCAGCGUCUGUUGUCAAGGCAGACCCGAGCUACAUUGCCUGUGGCGAAUCAGGAACUAGUCCCGCAGGUGGUCCCACCAUCAGAGGUCCAGUCCAGGCUGCAGCAAAAUCGCCACAUUCAAAAAGGGUGGUAUGACAAAACGAGCAGACCACUUCCACCUUUAGCCGAGGGGCAAGUGGUGCGUCUGCAAACCGACAAAGGUCGCGACCGCAACGGCGUAAUUUCUGGAACUGCCCCAUAGCCACGUUCAUAAUUGGUCAAGGCCGAUGGCGGCACCACAGACAUAAUAGGCAACAUAUCCUGCCUGUGAAUGAGCCAGCACCACCUCCGUACUAUCCUGACUGCACAAGUGUACUUCCAUCCACAUCCAGCGGCAUCGGCCCGACUGCACCAGCAUGACAACCUGUUUCUGACUAGUUACUUCAUGGCCACGCCGCCUCCACCUGUACCUUUCCUGUUUCGUCACCAGGAAUGCCGUUUCAAUCUCCAACACCUAUUUCACCACCGAUUGUGUCCCCGGUGAUGGAUGGACUAUACCGUACACGUGUUGGUCGUAAUUGUAAGCCCACUGUAAAGUACCCGGUCUAUGUUUAAUCAUCCUCCAGUUUAUUGCCAUAUGCUAUGUAUGCUUUGUGUAGUCAGUAGUUUUGUAUUUGCAUUUAAUUCUUUAAGAGGGAGGAUGUAGAUUAGUGUCACUCACACUGUGGCUCCGCCCACAGGCUUAUUCGAGAGCUCUCUCUCUCUCACUGUUAAACAAGUUAUGCAUGCUGAGACGAAAGCUCUUUGAGUUACCUCUGCAGAGUUGCUAAUAAAAGACAAUGGA